CUGUUUUUCCAGGAGCACGCUCCCCCGCUCACACGGACAACCCCUUGGAGCUUGGCGUCUCUCCAGAGCCACGCAGGGGCGGCGGAGUACAGCGGGAGUCUGGACACGAACCACACAUUGUGCACCACGGGACCCCACCAGCCCCGGCUCGAAGGCACAACUCUCAAGGACAUCGUAAACUGGGGCAGAGAACUUCCUAGCUUCCCACUGCUACAGUAGGUGUGCGAGAGGGAGAGAGAGAGAGAGAGAGAGAGAGAGAGAGAGAGAGAGAGAGAGAGAGAGAGAGAGAGAGAGAGAGAGUCUUGGUCUCCUGCUGUAUCAGUAGUUAUACCAUUGGUGGUGUCUGGUGUGGAGAUGAUGACAAUAAUUUUGCCUCGUAGAUUAUACAAAAUCUUCUCAUUUCUUAUUCUCAACAUUCUUGAGACCCUUCUGUGUGUGUGUGUGUGUGUGUGUGUGUGUGUGUGUGUGUGUGUGUGUGUGUGUGUGUGUGUGUGUGUGUGUGUGUGUGUGUGUGUGUGUGUGUGUGUGUGAGUGUGUGAGUGUGUGUGUGUGUGUGUUUUACUAGGCUCUGAUCUCACAGUCAAAUAUAAUGACUGAUUGUUGUAUAAUAAUAGGCUUAUCCCAGGGAGUGGUUUAGCUUGGGAUCUCUAUCACAUAUUGUCUCAUCUUGUUUAUUCAUGCUUUUCAUGGCAAUACAUGCCGAUCAUAUAUUUUGCAGACAAAGAAGAAUCUCAACUGAAAAUGGAGAUGACAGCUUCCGGUUUGACCUACUACUUAUCCUCUGCAUGACUAUAGGUUUCCCAAUUCAAGAACUUCCAUAGACACAUGAGUGUUUGCAAUGGUGCUUACAAGUGUGUGCAUUUCCAUGGCUUUAAAAAGUUGGAUCUCCUCUAGUUCAAGAGUCAUGGGGAACCAGUAAAGUCAUACACCAGAACCUCACUGUAUGAAGACUUAUUUGACUUAUUCAUUUUAGUGGAGAAAAGGUCUUCAACGGUUUUCUUGACGUCAUUCCAGGUGGUCUUCAUAAGGGAGCUUCGUUAACAAUUCUAUUCAUCCCUGUAUGACGAGAGCAAUGUAUUUAAUGACAUUUCAAAGAGACACUAUGGUGAAAAACGAUAAACAACAUCCAACGUAUACAGGGAGCUGAACAACACUGUGUCGAGAUGGAGUACCCCCGACCAGACAGAGUACCCCUAACCAGACCUGGUCACAUCGACCCAUGCCACCAACCUGGCCCUCUAAUGGAAGUCCUGGGCAUCCAGACGCCUCUCCCUGCCUCUGCCUGUCCCUCCCGCCUCGAUGGGGGCGUCAAGUAGGGCACUACUCUUCUUCCCAACCAGCAGGCAUUCUCUACCCUUCUCAAACUCCAUUCCUUCUCCCCAGGCCAGCCUUUUUGGGAACAUUGCAGGCAGAUGUGUUCAGAUGAGCAUAUUCUAAUUUAUUAGCCAGGUUAAUGCUCGGCCAGAGGCCCUGGAGGAUCAAUGGUUUUAUUUCCCUAAAAUGCCCGCGUGGUGAGAGGCGGCUCACAGGGAAGUUUUAAUACCGCCAGCACCCCAGUGUGUCCCAGUGAGGACUGGGCCGUAUUGAUCGCACCACACUGAAAGUACGUGCACCUUUUGGGGAAGGAUCUAUUUGUGUCACCCUGGGCUGAGAUGAGGGCUCCGCCGGAGGAGGAGAGAGCCCAGCCAAUGGAGGAUGCCAAAAACAUCAAAACAGCCAUGUUUACAGAUUACCCAAAGGGAAAGCAAAUUACUGCAAUUAUGCAGGCUGUGGGAAUACUGAUAUCAACAUACCUGCUAUUUCUCCCAGAGACACAACUUUUAUCAGGCUGGAACACAAACAAAAACAGCACACUGUUCAUUUGAGUUGAUGGCUAAACUGCAACAAACAUGGUGUGGUUGGUUUUAACGAAGCAAAGCGCUGCACAUCAUAUGCAUAGAAAAUCAUUAGUUGGCCACUAGCUCUACCUCAAGUCACGAGCUGAUUUACUGGUGAACAUCAUUGUUAAUCCAUCUUUCUGUAUGUUGGAUAUGUUUCAACCAAUAAUGACGCAUUUAGAUACCUUUUUACUUUUAUUCCCACCUUUUACCAAACAAUGCCAACUGAUCACCUGAGAAACACCCUAACAUGCUUCCCAGAAAAUGUGACAGAUCUAUCAUUGUAAUACAUCUGUUCAUACAGAACGCAUUUCUGUUGUGGGCUGUAUGUGUGACAUAUUCAUAACACAGACCAUAAUAGUCUAUAUCCUCUUCUGUUCCCCCGAGAGACCAGAAAGGAUGUUGUCAUGUCCAAUUAUCUACACUAUAGAGGUAAAUUACAACUCAUGUCAAGUCUACAAUAUUCGCUACACACACACACACACACACACACAAAAACACACACACACACACACACACACACACACACACACACACACACACACACACACACACACACACACACACACACACACACACACACACAAACACACACACAGACGUACACUCAACAAGGCCAGGUUGCAGAGGACAACAGAUAUUAAUAUUGAUAGAAUAUUGGAAUACACAUUCUCCUGAGGUGCUCCAGGUCAUGUAUGAAUUGGACAGGCAGAUUGGAUUGGCUGUGUUUUUUCUAAAGAUAGAUUGACGUAGACGGUUUUGAGGAGCUAGACUGAUAGAUAGAAAUUGUUUGUGGAGAAACUGUUAUGUUUAUGGAUUUUUGUGAUGGAAUGUAGGGAUUUAAAUGUAUGGCAGAUCAGGAAUACAAUCUCCUCCUGAUUGUAGGUCAGAAGAAUCAAUUGAUGUGCUUCCAGGUCACCAAGUUCCCCAACAUCUAAUAUUUCAAGUUCAAGUCAACUAUCAUAACCAUGUUUUAUCUUUCAUCAUCCUGCAGGUUAGUUUGUGAUGGCUGCUGGUGGUUGUUUGGUGGGUGGACUCUAUGGAGGGUAGGGUACCUUAGCCGAGAAGAACCUAGCCCCAUCUCACCCUGAAGCGGUGCAGAGCUCCGGCCCAAUAAAGCAGGCUGCCUCCCCAGGGCCCCUCUGUCAAGCCUCCAGUCAGCGCUUGUUUUUGCACCAUUUAUUUAGUGUGACACAUCUCCAAUUAAACUGUGGAGGCUGGUGCAUUUCCCCCAUAACUACCUCUUAUUCCUCCCCAUAGACUUUCUGUCACACUGAGGAGAGAGAGAGAGAGAGAGAGAGAGAGAGGAGGGAGAGAUCACAUCUUGCCUGCUAGCUAUAUGAUGACAAUGUCAUUUUCCCCUCAGUGGUUACAAGCCUCGCCUGAAAGGUGCCUUGAAUUAUAAUUAUCAAAAUAUUGAACAAGAUUAUGAUCCUCUGAAAUGAUACUGUCACCUUAAUGUUUGCCUUGCCACCCGUCGACACUUCUAUUUCUCUUUCCUUAUUUUCCAUGGAUCAAAAGGUAUUGAAUUAACACUGAUUAGAUUAUUACAUGAAAUAUUGUAUGAGUUGUAGGUUGUAUGAUACGGAAAAUGAUAUCUUAACUUGCCAAAAACAAGUGCCAUUACUGCUACAUGUAAGUCACUCUUGCCAUACUGUAAAUAAAAACUUCCAACAAUUCACCGUUACAUUAGCAGGCUCAGACUAAACAGUGUUUAGCCUACUCAUCAAAAACACUUUGAGGGGUUACUUUCCUCCACUAUCCUAUUGUGCUCGAAAAUUUGACUGUGAUGUGUCCGUCUUGCUGAAUUUAUAAAGUGCCCAAAAGAGAUCCGACGGUAUAUGACGGGCAUAAGGAAAGUAUUCCUCCCACCCCAUCCCCUCAUCAUCUCUCUGUCCCCCGUGGCACCAGACAGUCACAGGAGUAGUGACUUUGUACGACCCCGUUCCCGUCUGCAAGUGCGCAGCUGAGGGUGGCAGUUGGCAGGGAGGGCUGGUGGGGGAGCGCCCAAAACGGUGUGUCUGCCAAGUAGAGGGGCUAGGGGGAGCCCCAGUGGCAGCUGGGAAGGGUGGGGCGGCCAGCUGUGGAGGAGCAGGAUGGUGCUGGGGUGACUGGGAGAUGCCACCAGACCUUGAGCACUGCACACAUACAUGCGUACACACACAACACACACACACACACACACACACACACACAAACAGGCUACAUGCAGAUCAUU
rnacentral:lncRNA from 1 species